GAAGAGAGCCACAUUGUUGUAUGAUUUAUUUAUUUAACUUUGGGUGUUUUUAAACUCGUUUAAUCCACAAGAGGUGUACUGCAGGAGAUUGGUGAGUCUGACUCUCCAGGUGGGAUCUCUAUCCUAUAUCCGAUUGAAGAGUAAUUUGAGAAAAUAAGUUACAUAGAGGAAGGAAAGAGAAGUAAAUACACGAGAAGGUCUACGGCCCAAUUAAAAUUUGAAAUGAAUCAAAAAGAAGCCCAACCAAAGAAAGCCACAAAAACCCUAGAUCAAACUUCACCAACAACAACGACCGCCGAAAUUGUGCAAGAUGAGAGACUUGCAACAACAUGCUUGAGACCUAGAAACGGAAGAUCCGAGCCGACCUGAGAUCUACCACCGCAACCAACCGUCGAGUGCAAGAGAUCGCUGAAGAAGACCGAUGAAGGCUGCCCUGCUUCAAGACUCGAGGCACUGAAUCCUGACGAGAAUAAUCGCCAUGCAUCUCCAAAACACUAACGCAAUCCAAUAUAGCAAGGAGGUAGACACGCAGAUACAAAGAGGAAGAAAAAAACCAUUGAAGAAUCCAUAGCUCCCAGAGCAACUAGGCAGCCAAAUCAAAUCUGAAAUAGAGAUGAAGACAAGAAACAAGCUCCACAAGGGAGAAACACAAAGCUCCACAAGAGAGAACACAAAGCUCCACAAGGGGACAAACACAUCCAAACAAGACUCUAGAUUUGAACAAGCAGAACAGAGAAAAAACCAAAUGUGAAACAAAUUACUUAGGGAAGGAAAAACGAACAAUACCAAGGAAAGGAAGAGAGGAAAUCACUGAUCGAGCAAGAUGGCUUGCCGCCGAACACCAAGAAGAGAGAUGGCAGAGAAAAUUUAAAAUAGAGAGAGAAUUUUGGUACUCGGGGAUUUAAGAGCAAUCUUAAUCUUUAUAUUUGCACAUGAUCUAUGAG
rnacentral:lncRNA from 1 species